ACUUAAAGCUAAUUGUGAUUUUAUCUUGUAUGAACUGUGGAGUUCGUUUUCUAAUGGGAACCACAUUGUCUCUCCAAUUUACUGGAAUGUUUUCUGUUUCAGUGGUGCACCCUCUCUUCUUCUUGCUGAUAGUGCAGUCUUUACAGCCCAGUGAAACAGCAAUUUCUGGAUUCAUUUGGGGUUAUGUGUUAAGUGCAAAGUUUGCAAAGAGGUGAGAAACGUGUUUCUGAUAUUAAACACAGAAAUCGCUUGGCAAGGAGCACCCAAAGCACUUCAACAUUCAGCCACCGAUCCUGCCUGGUUUACAUGCCUUCCUAGUGUGAGCUCUCUCCAUAUUAAUGUCUAAACCUUUGGAUCAUGGGAGCUGAUGUAAGCUGUAGAAGAGGAGAGCGCAAGCCGAGAAAGCAAUCACUACGAUGUGGUCCAAAUAAUCUUCCUGAAAGCUGUUUGGACAUUAACAAGGCCACAGAAGAAGAGCUGAUGACCCUUCCUGGUGUAGAUCGUAACUUAGCCCAGAGCAUCACUGCACAUCGGCGGAAGAUCCGAGGGUUCCGACGUGUGGAGGAUCUAGUACUGGUAACAGGGGUUGGAGCUGAGCGGAUGCUAGAGCUAAGACCUGAGAUUUGUGUGGGAAAGUCUGAAACAACAAUGACUGAAAUGAAUGGCUCAAGGACUAUAUAUGAUGAUGUGGCUCAGUCAGACACAAAAGGGGAGAAGAAUACAGAGCAAAAUGACAAACUACAAAGCAGAAUAGGAUCUCCCAACUAAUGUAGCUAUUCUGCAAAAUAUUACCCUUAUUCCAGGGUCAAGCAAUCCAUAACAUGACAUUCAAACCUGCAAUGUAUUGAUAAUCUAAUAAAUGAGUAGGUUAGGAAUAGAACACCGAAAUAGGCAAGAGCACUGUCCCAAAACGUAGAGAUUCUAGAAAAUCACGGGGUAUAUUUAUAAAAGACUUUAGGUCUCAUUUACAAGUGCUAUGCACUUACUUGUGCUUCUCUAUCCUACAUUGGUGCGUGGGGUGCAAGGUGUAGUGUAACUAUGAACAAGAGAGCCCUGUAUCUAACUUGUGUCCCAACCAGACAGUAACUACAUGGUGUUCUUUAUGUGAUUCUUGUUUCUCCAAUUUAAUCACUAAGAAAUGAAGGACGUGUAAGUCUACAGCUGUGUCCCACCUGUGUGUGGCCCCUUCCAUUGCAGGAACACGUUGCAUCCAACUGCCACUUAUCUUUCUGCCUCCAUUAUCUGAUUGCUGAAGGUGCAAUAAAGGUGGAAUCCUGGGAAGGAAUGUUGCAUUGUGGGUAGAAAACUGUAUUGAUAUUUUGCAUUUUGUACUGUAAAAGGAUCAUUUUAAAUGAUAUGCAUGUAUUUUUACCAGAAGCUAAUACAAAAAAUAAGAUAGUUUAUAAUAAUAUUUUAUCUAUGUUACAGCUCCUUACUUAGCAAACACUAAAUGGUGCCAGUGCUGAUAUCCAUACCAACAAUCAGAAAAUUAGCUUUUGAUUAGUGUAGCAGCAUUAGAAGAUGAAUGUAAACAUCAAAUUGGUUGGGUUACUGCACAGAUGCUAUUUUAUAUCAGUAUAUUAGCCUUUAUUGGCAAAUAUUUCUAAAAUGCUGGAGAUUUUCUAUACCUGCUCAUUUGGUAGAAGUAAUCUGAGAAACUACAUACUAAAGUUCCAGUAUCCUGUAAGCAGAUUUGUAGAAACACAUGUUGGUAAAGAAGUGAAAGUCAUGCAGCUAUUAUUUAGACUACCACUGUCUAACAGAGGCCUGCACACGACAUGUGGCUCUCUAAGCAAUAGUUAUAGCACCCAGACUGCUUAAGAUCUUUAUCGAGUUCUAUGAAAGACCAUCAUUUUUUUAUAGGGUGGCUCUCAAACAUCUAGUGAAUAAUUUCCCCACUAAAAGGAAAAAUUUGGACAGCACUGAUUCAAACUAUGGGAGGGCCAGUUUACUAGUGUUCCAGCUCACAAACAUAGCACAUAACCAAAAAUAGUUUUUUGUGGCCCAAACUGUACCAUACUUGCUUAGCAUGCUUGUUUUGUUCCAUAGUAUGUUAGGUAGCUAACACUGAAACUAUAGGAGGAAGGUUGAAUCAGGCAGCAAAUAUUUCUCCAAAUCUAGUAAUCCAUAGUAACUAUUUACCAAUAUGUAACUGAUAUACAGUGUUGCUGUAAGAAUAAAGAAAAGCUUGCAUCUUUUUAUCAUAU